rnacentral:rRNA from 1 species
UAGAAAUAAUGGUUUGAAAAGGAAAUUUUUAGAAGUAUAAAUAUGUGUAAGUAGUGUUAACGAAAUUUUUUUUUGCUAUAGAGAAUUAGUACAGUGAUGGAAAUUGUUGAAAAAUUAUUUUUGAAAAAUUUUAUAAAAGAAUAGGAUCUUUAAUUUUGGGUACCUUUUGUAUUAGCGACUAUUAAAAUUUUAUUGGAAAAUUAUUUCUCGAAAGUAAAAGAUCUAAUUAGAUUUACUAGUUUUUGUGUCAAAAAAAUUUGGAAAAUUUAUUUAGGUGUGAGAUGCUAAUCGCUUUUACUGAUAUCUAGUAACUUUGGAAAAAAAUUUAGUUUGGUUUAUUGGGGAAUUCUUUACUAAGAAGAAGUUUUUUAUAUAACCUUAUAUUUUAGGGGAUGAGCUCUAAAAUAAAUUUAAAAGAUAAUAAAUAUUUAGAUUUUAGGUAGGCUUAGAAUUGGCCAUGAGAUAGUGUUAUAAGAUAGAAAUAGAGGUUUAAGAUUUAUUUUUCUUUAGUGUUUACAAAGUUUAUAAGGAAAUGUUUUAAUUAUUGAAAAUAUGAUAGUAUAAGUAGACAGAUAUAUUAGGAAUUAAGUUUGGAUAAUUCAUGGAAAAUAUAAUUAGGGUUUGUAGCAAAAGAACUCGGCAAAUAAGAUUUCCGAAUGUUUAACAAAAACAUUUCCUCUUGUUAAAAGGAGGUAAGGCCUGCUCACUGAAAUUUAAAGAGCCGCAGUAUUCUGACUGUGCUAAGGUAGCAUAAUCAUUAGUCUUUUAAUUGGAGACUGGUAUGAAUGGUUAAACGAGAAAUCAACUUUUUUUGCUAUAAAGAUUGAAUUUAAUUUUUUAGUGAAAAAGCUAAAAUUUUUCAGAAAGACGAGAAGACCCUAUAGAGUUUUAUAUCACGAAUAAUUUUCUUUUAGUAGGUUUUUUUGGAUAAAAUUUUUUUGUGAUAUUUUGUUGGGGCGACAUUAAGAUAAGAAAAACUCUUUAUUUUGAAAACUUUACUAAAAGAAUUAACUGAUCCUUUAGAAGAGAUCAUAAGAAAAAAUUACCUUAGGGAUAACAGCGUAAUCUUUUUUGAGAGUUCUAAUCGACAAAAAGGUUUGCGACCUCGAUGUUGGACUAAAAUUCAGGCAGGGUGCAGUAGUUCUGUCUUUAGGUCUGUUCGACCUAUAAUAUUUUACACGAUCUGAGUUCAGACCGGCGUAAGCCAGGUUGGUUUCUAUCUUCUGAUUUUGUUGUUUCAGCUUAGUACGAAAGGAUUGGUUGGAUGUAAGAAUUAUAUGGAAAAGAGUAUUAUUAAUUUAAUCU